CCCUUAGAUGUUCUGGGCUGCACGCGCGCUACACUGAUGCGAUCAACAAGUUUUUCCUAUGUCGAUAGACACGGGUAAUCUUUUGAACUCGCAUCGUGAUGGGGAUAGAUUAUUGUAAUUAUUAAUCUUCAACGAGGAAUUCCUAGUAGGUGCAAAUCAUCAGUUUGCAUCGAUUACGUCCCUGCCCUUUGUACACACCGCCCGUCGCUGCUACCGAUUGGUUGAUCUGGUGAAUUAUUCGGACUGCCGGCUGAAGGGGUUUCGUCAUCUGCCAGCGGAAAGUCUUGUUAACCCUAUCAACUAGAGGAAGCAGAAGUCGUAACA
rnacentral:rRNA from 1 species